UAUCUCUGUAGAGUCUGCAUAUCAAUAAGCGGAGGAAAAGAAACUAACUAGGAUUCCCUUCAGUAACGGCGAGUGAAGCGGGAAGAGCUCAAAUUUGAAAUCUUCAAGGUUCUACCUUGACGAAUUGUAGUUUAAAGAAGUGUUUUCUGUUGGUGUUUUGGUAAAAGUUCUUUGGAAUAGGACAUCAUAGAGGGUGAGAAUCCCGUAUUUGACCAUUACUUUCCAGCGUUGUGAUACACUUUCAAAGAGUCGGAUUGUUUGGGAAUGCAGUCCAAAAUGGGUGGUAAAUUUCAUCUAAAGCUAAAUAUUGGCGAGAGACCGAUAGCGAACAAGUACCGUGAGGGAAAGAUGAAAAGAACUUUGAAAAGAGAGUUAAACAGUACGUGAAAUUGUCAAAAGGGAAGCGUUUGACACCAGUGUUGUUUUCUCGAAAAUCAAUUAAGAAUGGCUUGAUUUUGUGUUGUAUUGACCUUAAAAGCUUUCUUCACUUUUUUCAUGUCUUUUUUAAUGCACUUUUCGUUUAACAAGUCAAUAUCAGUUUCUUUUGUUGUAAAAAGGUCAUUGGAAGGUGGCUUUCUUUUCGGAGAAAGUGUUUAUAGCCUUUGACUUCUGCAAUCGGAGAGACUGAGGUCUGCAGCGUAGAUCCUUCUGGAUUAGAUUCAUUUGUGCUAAGUUACAACCGUUUAUAGACAACUUGUUGACUAUAUUCGAUCCUGUAGCUUACUCGCUUAUGUAAUUUUACCUACGCUUAGGAUGUUGACGAGACUGUCGAUCUC
rnacentral:rRNA from 1 species